rnacentral:rRNA from 1 species
UACGUAGGGGCAAGCGUUGUCCGGAAUUAUUGGGCGUAAAGAGCGUGUAGGCGGUCCGGUAAGUCAGCUGUGAAAGUCAAGGGCUCAACCCUUGAAUGCCGGUUGAUACUGUCGGGCUAGAGUCCGGAAGAGGCGAGUGGAAUUCCCGGUGUAGCGGUGAAAUGCGCAGAUAUCGGGAGGAACACCAAUGGCGAAGGCAGCUCGCUGGGACGGUACUGACGCUGAGACGCG